CCCAACAACUAAACAGACAGCUGUGAGGGA
rnacentral:piRNA from 1 species